rnacentral:ncRNA from 1 species
GCAGAGUAGAUGUUUGCGCGUCAAGUGUUCAGCGGACGGGGAGUUGCCGCUUUAACGAAAAGCCACUGGCUUGCGGUGCAAAUGUCGCAUCCCGCUGC